rnacentral:rRNA from 1 species
UACGUAGGUGGCAAGCGUUGUCCGGAUUUAUUGGGUUUAAAGGGUGCGUAGGCGGCAUUUUAAGUCAGUGGUGAAAUACUUCAGCUUAACUGGAGAGGUGCCAUUGAUACUGGGAUGCUUGAGUACUGAUGAGGUAGGCGGAAUGGACGGUGUAGCGGAUGAAAUGCUUAGAUAUCGUCCAGAACACCGAUAGCGAAGGCAGCUUACUAAGGAGUAACUGACGCUGAGGCACGAAAGUGUGGGGAUCAAACAGG